CAGUAUUGGAAUUAUCUGAGAACUUAUCAGAAAUGAACAGUCUCAGGCCCACCUCAGACAUGAUGAAUCAGAAUCUGCAGGUAAUUUAGUGUUUGCUUGACAAGAUCAACUUGCAAAAAAGAGAUAUAGACAAGUCAUCUUGUUUUUUAUCCAGUAGAUUAGAACAAAAUAAUAUCCUAAGUGAUUAAUGUUUUCAAGGAAAUUCAGAGAAAAAAACACAACUUUUGAAAAAUGUCACGUAUUUUUUCUGUACUCCAGUUGGAGCCAAGUCUAUAAAUUUUUUUUCAGUUUGAACUUAGAUAUUUGAGAUUAAAAACAAUGGAUCGUUCAACCUACUGCUAGAUGGUUGAGCCCAGGCUCAUUUCUGGUCAGGGAACCACACCACCCAUCCAUCAGUUGUCAUACUGUCAUGGCUGCCUGUUGCCAUGAUGCUGAGAGCUGUGCCACCAGUACUUCAAAUACCACUAGGGUCACCCAUGGUGGACAAGUUUCAGCAGAGCUUCCAGAUGAAGACAAACCAGGAAGAAGGACCUCGCCACCUACUUCUGAAAAAUUUACCGUGAAAACCCUAUGAAUAGCCGUGGAGGAUUGUCUGAUACAGCGCCGGAAGCACUUGUUACUGCAGGAUUAUGAAUAUUUGCUUUCCAUUUUAUGAGAAAUAAAAUUGGAACUAACAGCUGGUGCCCAAUAAUUUCAUUUUUAAGGGAG
rnacentral:lncRNA from 1 species